GGUAAAUUUGGAUAAACCGUGUGAUGGCUGCCAACUCUGCUACUCUGUCUUUCUCCUCUUCCUCUUGAUUGAUUACUCAACCAUAAAUAAACAGCCACUACUUGGAGUUGGAUACUCAAAACGAUUCGUUUCGCUUUCUGCGCUGCCUUAUCCUUCUUUCUCCUCGCGUCACAACCACGGAAGUUGAAGCUAGGAAAUCCAACCCAAGUUUACGUCUGCAACCUUCCUAGAAGCUGUGAUACUCAUCACCUACUUCAUCUUUUCACUCCUCACGGAACCGUUCUAUCUACCGAGGUUUGCCGAAAUGCAGAGACUGGUGAGAGUAAAGGGAGUGCUUAUGUCACAAUGGGAUCUUAUAAUGCUGCUAAAAAUGCACUUGCUGCGUUGGAUGGAUCGGAUGUUGGUGGGCGUGAAAUGCUGGUUAAAUUUUCUGUUGAGACAUUGAACUCGCCUCCUAUGAGAAGAAGAACAAUAUACUAUGAAGGUCCUCAUAAGGUGUAUGUUGGGAAUCUUUGGUAAAUUUGGAAAUGUGGCUAGUGUGAGGGUGUUGCAAGAUUUGAAUCAGGGGAAAAAAAAGCCGUGUCUAUGCCUUUGUCUCUUAUCUCUCUCAAAGAGAACGUGACGCCUCUAUGUCCCUCAAUGGAACCGAAUUUUGUGGUCGAACUCUAGUGGUUAGAGAGGGUGUGGAGAAGACUCAGACCUAAUUACAGCUUUUUUCAAAUUCUGCUCUGAUACAUACGACGACCAAUAUUUCAUGCCAGAACCUUUCUGAACGAGAUAACUUAGCUGGAAGUGGAGGUGUCCUACUGUAAUUGUUCCAUCAAAAUAUGGUUGUUUUUGAAUGUAAAAUUGCAAUCACCAGGCUCAAUGUGGUGUAUGGAACAUGGUUUUCAUAACAAACAUUGUUAGACCUGAUAAAGGAAUUUUUUUUUUUUUAAUGGCAAAUAUAUAUAUAUAUAUAUAUACAACUCAUAAAGGAACUUUUAUUCCUUUACAUAUCUAUAGAUACUUAAUCUGUAAUGAGUACUGACCAAGUGCAUAUUUAGUUUUCGGAGGUCUAUACUCUAUAACACAAUUUAAAAAAUGACACUUGGUUGAACUUGAACACCCUAUUGCAGACUACUUAGCAUGUUUUUGAUUUAUCAUUGAAAAACUCUAAAAAUAUAAGAUAUUUUUCGGGUUUUACAAUGUUAAACCAAACAUGGCAUUGGUGCAUGUUUGGUUAGGAUCUGGAUUCUCUAAUGUCAGCACCAGAACGCUGGAGUGCCGUUCACUCUUUUUCAACCAUCAGAUGAAUUUAAUGCUCAAAAUUAAGCCAUGCGGCCAUCUCCUAAACUUUUUAUUUGUUAAGCUUAAAACUACUCGCAUGUCCAGUAAUUGACCCUCUCUUAACCCUGUAUGCUAUGCGUGGGGGAGAUAAAAGCAGUGGCCUGGUUGCCGAAGUUUGUACACCACCGUCUCUGCAAAAUACGACUGACAAAAAAAGAAAUGAAGGGAAGUAUCUGAGCUACAUGACUGGUUGUAGGAAGGUUUCGUUAAGGGUGUUUGAUUGAGGCUGACAGAGCAGCGAUUAGCGAUGGCUGCGGAGCCCGGCCUGUGGAUAUAGAGGCAUGGAGUACUCGAAGGCAAAGGCAGAUAUAUGAAUAUGUGGAGUGGAGUGAUCAUGUAAGACAAAGGUAAAUAUUUGAGUAUGUGGAUUAAUCAUGAAGAGAUUUGCCGUAUGAGUAGUAUGUACAAACUUUUAUGUCAGCUGCAUGGGAAAACUAGAGAUUCACAGAAUUUCAACCUUUCUCAUUGGACUUUUGGGACUGAUAGGCAUGAUGACCCUUAUACAGAAUUUGAAGCUUUUUCAUUGGAUUUUUGGGGACUAAUAGUAAAUUUGUUAAGUAGUUUUAAAAAUAAUGUACAUAGUGAAAUGUUUCCAUUGUAAAGUAACGAGUGAUUCAAUUCGUGUAUGUUCUGUCAGUAUAAUGUGUGUGGCAUUGUAUGAAGCUCAAGUAUUUUAUAUGUAAUGUUAUAAAAUAGCAUUGUGUGAAAGUCGAGUCUA